CCCAAAAAGUGCGUCGUAGUCCGGAUUGGAGUCUGCAACUCGACUCCAUGAAGUCGGAAUCGCUAGUAAUCGUAGAUCAGAAUGCUACGGUGAAUACGUUCCCGGGCCUUGUACACACCGCCCGUCACACCAUGGGAGUGGGCUGCAAAAGAAGUGGGUAGUUUAACCUUCGGGAGGACGCUCACCACUUUGUGGUUCAUGACUGGGGUGAAGUCGUAACAAGGUAGCCCUAGGGGAACCUGGGGCUGGAUCACCUCCUUA
rnacentral:rRNA from 1 species